AUUGAACGCUGGCGGCAGGCCUAACACAUGCAAGUCGAGCGGAUGAAGGGAGCUUGCUCCUGGAUUCAGCGGCGGACGGGUGAGUAAUGCCUAGGAAUCUGCCUGGUAGUGGGGGAUAACGUCCGGAAACGGGCGCUAAUACCGCAUACGUCCUGAGGGAGAAAGUGGGGGAUCUUCGGACAUCACGCUAUCAGAUGAGCCUAGGUCGGAUUAGCUAGUUGGUGGGGUAAAGGCCUACUAAGGCGACGAUCCGUAACUGGUCUGAGAGGAUGAUCAGUCACACUGGAACUGGGACACGGUCCAGACUCCUGCGGGAGGCAGCAGUGGGGAAUAUUAGACAAUGGGCGAAAGCCUGAUCCAGCCAGGCCGCGUGUGUGAAGAAGGUCUUCGGAUUGUAAAGCACUUUAAGUUGUGAGGAAGGGCAGUAAGUUAAUACCUUGCUGUUGUGACGUUACCAACAGAAGAAGCACCGGCUAACUUCGUG
rnacentral:rRNA from 1 species